rnacentral:rRNA from 1 species
AAUGAACGCUGGCGGCAUGCCUAACGCAUGCAAGUCGAACGAAGGCUUCGGCCUUAGUGGCGCACGGGUGCGUAACGCGUGGGAAUCUGCCCUUGGGUUCGGAAUAACAGUUAGAAAUGACUGCUAAUACCGGAUGAUGUCGUAAGACCAAAGAUUUAUCGCCCAAGGAUGAGCCCGCGUAGGAUUAGCUAGUUGGUGGGGUAAAGGCCUACCAAGGCGACGAUCCUUAGCUGGUCUGAGAGGAUGAUCAGCCACACUGGGACUGAGACACGGCCCAGACUCCUACGGGAAGCAGCAGUGGGGAAUAUUGGACAAUGGGCGAAAGCCUGAUCCAGCAAUGCCGCGUGAGUGAUGAAGGCCUUAGGGUUGUAAAGCUCUUUUACCCGGGAUGAUAAUGACAGUACCGGGAGAAUAAGCUCCGGCUAACUUCGUG